GCAAGAAGUCACGAGUGCUGCGAGUGUCGUAGAUGAAUGGGCUCAGGAGAGAACUACAUGGGGUCAGAGUUAAAAUGAGCUCAACAGUGCAAAAAAUAAUGUCAUAAAGAAGGAAAUUGCAGGUAUGGGGCAACUGCGGAGGCUUGCGUCACUGGGCUCUUUCUCUCCGCCAGAGACAAAGAUGCAGAUCAUGACAGGAGGCGCAGAUAUAAAGGAUCGCUGGAGAGAGGCAGCAGCAGUAAACCAUUGGAAGGUGACCGCAGCUCAUCCAAUAUGAUCUCUGUUGUGAGUGGCCGGUAUCAGAGCUGCUGCAGUGCCUCUCUAACGAAGAAAAUGCAAAAAGUAAAUGGCAUUGAAUAGCCAAGGAGGAGUCAAUUUUUCAACGCGAUCGUAACCUCAUUUUCUUUCCUACAGGUGAUUAAAAUUUGCCUGCUGGCGGCCGCCUGCUUUGCUCUUCCAGGCGGCAGUGGCGGCGGUGGUGGCUUUGGAGGAGGCCAUGGAGGUGGCGGCGGUGGUGGCUUUGGAGGCGGCGGCGGUGGUGGCUUUGGAGGCGGCCAUGGAGGUGGCGGCGGUGGCGGGGGUGGUUAUGGGGGCGGAGUGGCUGUACCAAUUCCCUACAACUUCGAUUACGGCGUCUCAGCGGGUAACACAAACUUCGGCCACAGCGAGAGCGGGGACGGCCGCGGCAGCGCUCACGGCGGCUAUUGGGUGAACCUUCCCGACGGUCGGGUGCAGAACGUCAACUACUGGGCUGAUGGCAGCGGCUACCACCCCGUAGUGACGUAUCAGGGGACCGCCGUCUUUCCUAGCAGCAAAGGUGGCGGCUACUACUGAAGCGGACUGAAUUUCUCUAUUUCCUGAGUUGGACUGUUGGAAAUUGACAUUAAAUACUCUGGGACACAAGCUUCAACUCUCAUAAAUAAAGAACUGUAGGCAAG